rnacentral:lncRNA from 1 species
UCUGAUUUUUGUCUCUUUUUUUCUUUGAUGAAGAUUCUCUUGAUCAAUUCAUGGCUAUCGAAACUGAUUCUGCCAUAAAAAUCUGGACAGGUCUCUCUCAGUUCUAAUUUUUAUUGCUUUGUUUUUGCCAUUCCAUUUGAUGAGAUUGUGUGUGUGUUUGGCGCUGUCAAUUUCAUCAAGCAAUCCAAUGUUGCUCAUAGAAUCCUUAUUUUGUAUUUGUGUUACCACUCUUAUGGAGAAAUCAAAUUAAAGGCAAGCAUGGAAGAAGAUCCGUUGAUCUGUGUUGAUGUCAUCAAGAUUCCACUGCUCUACUGUGCAACUCUUAAGCUGCAAAAUAUGCUAACUUGAAACCUCUUUGCUCUCAAAAGAGGUAAAUUUGUCUCCUUUGUGUCACUAGGCUCUAUCUCCCUUGACCCUUGUGAUAAAUUGAACAAGCGGGUACUUAACGAGAUAAAGUUAACAUUAUAGACAAAGACAGCGACAACAGACAACUUGCUACGUUUUCUUUCUUCAUUGCUAAAGCAUUAUCUCACUAUUUUGCCUAGUUUUAGUAUAAGCAUCUUUGAUUCUUGUUAAGAAAACAUAUCAACUUUUAGAUUAUAAUUUUUACCAAAAAAAACUUUUAAAUUAUAAUAAUACAAAAAGGAGUUUGUUA